rfam:Camelus ferus unplaced genomic scaffold scaffold2807, whole genome shotgun sequence.
GAGGAUAUAGCUCAGUGGUAGAGUGCAUGCCUAGCAUGCAUGAGGUCCUGGGUUCAAUCCCCAGUCCCUCCA